rnacentral:lncRNA from 1 species
UGUCAUUUAAACGUAAUUUGAAAAAUAUGCAUAAAUAUGGAGCAGGGGUACAUGUGUCACUUUAAAAAUUAGAACGGGUUCAUAUUGCACUUAUUCAGGUCAUAAAUAAUAAACCCGAAAAAAAAACAGUAUUUCCGAGAAUCACUGCCCACUCUUAUCACCUCUCUCCACCGUCUCUUUCCCAAACUCUCUCUCUCUUCCCACAACACCCAUCUCUCUCUGCACCUCCCCCACCAUGAACUUUUUCUCCAAGUUGGGCAUAGAUGGAGUUGCGUUUUAAAAAUAAUACUAUUGGAGCCACUGCACGCCGAGGCCAACAAUGAGGCGGCGAGCACGGAGGUGGUGAUCGAAGGACGAGAUGACGCGGUGGAGCCAGGAGCUGACGACGGCGGGAAGGUGCAGCGGCGGUAGCGGCGGUCGGUGAAAGUAGGUUUGAUUCUGAUGUUAUUUUGAGGGUAGAGAGAGGGAGAGGGGAAGAGAAGGGGGG